GUCCCCCGGAGCUUGGUGGUGUCCCGGGACGGUCCUCCCAGGAAAUAUUUUGAACAAGUUGCUGAAGUGCCUGAUGGACGUGGCUCUCGUCACGAAAUGAGUUUGGAUCCGAGAAGCCCUCUUCUUCAUCAGAAAUGGGACAAAGAUGAGCUGCGUGCCCAUAAUUCCACGUUUACGCUGACUCCUCCAGAGCCUCAUCAAUGAAGUAAGCAGGCAGCUGCAUUCUGGAGGGCUAGCAUGUACCGAAGGCACACAACCUCCAGAGGUGACAGAGUCAAGUCCUGGCGUGCCUGAGGCUAUCCAGGGGAACACGCGGGACAGACAGCACCCUCAGACUGUCCCCAUGACCCUCUGCUCCACUCUGAGGGGCAGGACACCAUGAGACCUCUCAGACACAGAGUCCACCCUCGACAUGACCCGGGGGAAAGGCAGGAGUGUGUGUCCUGCUUUUGCCCUCGAAGCUCCCUGAAGGGGACCCAUCUCUGCAAGCCCACAGCCCUACCUGCGGCAUCCACAGCCUCAGAGAGCAGCGGGUCCCCUUACCCCCGAACUCCCUCCAAGUGCAUCAGGACAACAAGCCUUGAGCCCUGGAGACAAGAGAAUCAGUAUCCCUGGCCCAGGGAGGAUUCCAGGAGAGGACACAGGCAGGAGCCCUGGCCCAGAGCCAGAACCAAGAGUCCAGCCAGAGGCGGCUAGAGCAUCGCCUCUUCACGCAAAUGUCUUGAAACUCAGCUUGAAGAUUUCAGCAAACGUGUCUUACAGCGAAGAGAAGAGGGAGUCAGUCCAUCGGGAUUAAAAAUAUAGAGGCAGUGACAACACACACUCGGCUUCAGUUCUUAGGAGAGUUUUGGUUUUGAUUUUUUUUUUUUUUUGGAGAAGAUUUUUUUUUAAUAGAUCUACACUGUUAACUGAGACUCUGUUGAGAUUCACUGGUUUACUUAAAAACUUCUCAGGGAUGUCUAUAAAUUUCAUUGUUAUAUGUCAUGAAAACUGGUGUGGGCGGAUCUGUUGGUUGAAAUAAUUUCUACUGUUUCAAAUACUGAAGGCAGGAAUAAUUGGUUUAUACUGUGUUUUAAAUAAAAGUAUUACUGGUAAGUCCCCCAGGACAUUAAACCUUAAAAAUCAUU
rnacentral:lncRNA from 1 species